rnacentral:rRNA from 1 species
UACGGAGGGGGCUAGCGUUGUUCGGAAUUACUGGGCGUAAAGCGCACGUAGGCGGCUUUGUAAGUUAGAGGUGAAAGCCCGGGGCUCAACUCCGGAACUGCCUUUAAGACUGCAUCGCUAGAAUUGUGGAGAGGUAAGUGGAAUUCCGAGUGUAGAGGUGAAAUUCGUAGAUAUUCGGAAGAACACCAGUGGCGAAGGCGACUUACUGGACACAUAUUGACGCUGAGGCGCGAAAGCGUGGGGGAGCAAACAGG